ACAGUUGGAAACGACUGCUAAUACCGCAUAAGCCCACGACCCGGCAUCGGGAAGAGGGAAAAGGAGCAAUCCGCUUUGAGAUGGCCUCGCGUCCGAUUAGCUAGUUGGUGAGGUAACGGCCCACCAAGGCGACGAUCGGUAGCCGGACUGAGAGGUUGAACGGCCACAUUGGGACUGAGACACGGCCCAGACUCCUACGGGAGGCAGCAGUGGGGAAUAUUGCACAAUGGGGGAAACCCUGAUGCAGCGACGCCGCGUGGAGGAAGAAGGUCUUCGGAUUGUAAACUCCUGUUGUUGAGGAAGAUAAUGACGGUACUCA
rnacentral:rRNA from 1 species